GACGAACGCUGGCGGCGUGCCUAAUACAUGCAAGUCGAACGCAGUGGGGACGGGUGAGUAACACGUGGGUAACCUCCCAUCAGAGGGGAUAACACUUGGAAACAGGUGCUAAACCGAUACUGAUGUAUGGACCCGCGGUGCAUUAGCUAGUUGGUGGGGUAACGGCUCACCAAGGCCACGAUGCAUAGCCGACCUGAGAGGGGGAUCAGCCACACUGGGACGGAGACACGGCCCAGACUCCUACGGGAGGCAGCAGUGGGGAAUCUUGGGCAAUGGACGAAAGCCUGACGCAGCAAUGCCGCGUGAGUGAAGAAGGUUUUCGGGUCGUAAAACACUGUUGUUCGGGAAGCGGUAUCUAACCAGAAAGCAACGGCUAACUACGUGCCAGCAGCCGCGGUAAUUC
rnacentral:rRNA from 1 species